AGCCCUUUUCCCUUUCUGCCCUCUGCCAUGUGAGGUCACAGUGUUCCUCCCUCCUGAGGAUGCAGUGUUCAUGAAAGCAAACACUGGGCCCUCACCAGGCAACAAACCUGCUGGUGCCUUCAUCUUGGACUUCCCAGCCUUCGGAACUGUUAAGAAGCUCCACUGCGCUUUGUCCAUUGCAAGUUGAGAAGUGAGGCCCCAGCUGUCACAUACAGUGAGUGAAGAAGCUGAGCUUCCCUCAACGCCUGGGCCUGUAUGAAUUUUUUUUUUUUUUUUUUUUUUGGAGACGGAGUCUCACUUUGUUGCCCAGGCUGGAGUGCAAUGGCACUAUCUCAGGCCACUGCAACCUCUGCCUCCCAGGUUCAAGCGAUUCUUCUGCCUCAGCCUCCUGAGUAGCUGGGAUUACAGAAGUGCACCAUUACAGCUUGCUAAUUUUUGUAUUUUUAGUAGAGAAGGGUUUUCACCAUGUUGGCCAGGUUGGUCUCGAACUCUUGGCCUCAGGUGAUCCGCCCGCACAGCCUCCCAAAGUGUUGGGAUUACAGGCGUGAGCCACUGCGCCCGGCCUUAGUAGAGACGGGGUUUCUCCAUGUUGAGGCUGGUCUCAAACUCCUGACCUCAGGUGAUUCACCCGCCUCGGCCUCCCAAACUGCUGGGAUUAUAGGCAUAAGCCACCGCGCCCGGCCUUAGGCUCCAUCACAAGAGGGAGCCCCAUUGCUAGUCCCCAUCCUCAAAGCCUCUGCGUGAUGUUGUCUACUGUUACUCUUCACUACCCUGUGGGAGCCAAAGCCCUGGACAUAAGAACAGAAGGCAAGCAGUGGUGGCUGAGAGGAAGAACUGACACCUUUGUGCUAUCAGAGCACUUUGCAGAGGAGCUGUUAGUGGCCCUGUAGGAGUCUGCUGGCCAUACAUCUGGGUGUCAAAUCAAGAGAGCAUGAGAAGUUGGACAGGAAAGGUCCAAGGCAAAAUGGUUACUAAAGGCCAUCCCUGAUCCUGACCCUAAAAGAAGAAAAGGCCCUUUGCUCUUGGCAUGCUUUUGCAGGAGUGUCUCAGUCUGUUUGGGCUGCUAUAACAUUGACUGGGUGAUCUGCCUGCCUGGCCUCCCAAAGUGCUGGGGUUACAGGUGUGAGCCGCUGCACCAGGCCUUGAGGUCAGGAGUUCGAGACCAGCCUGGCCAACAUGGUGAAACCUGUCUUUACUAAAAAUACAGAAAUUAGCCAGGCAUGGAGGCGCAUGCCUGUAAUCCCAGCUACUGGGGAGGCUGAGGCAGGAGAAUCGCUUGAACCCAGAAGGUGGAGGUUGCGGUGAGCCCAGAUAGUGCCAUUGCACUCUAGCCUGGCCAACAAGAGUGAAACUCUGUCUCAAAAAAUAAAUAAACAAACAAACAAAC
rnacentral:lncRNA from 1 species